CACAGCCGAGGCUGUGGAAGGCUUGACCCCCAAAGACCUCCCCAGCACAGCGGAAAUGACUUCUGUCUAAGGAGCUGACCACAGCGGGAGGCCUCCAGCAGCAGGGGUUACCAGUGAUUCUCACAGCCCGCAGAGUGACUCCUUGACAGGGAUCGUGAGAACCUGAGUGGCAGGGGUCCUUGUGGUCAAGACGAACUUGACUAAAUGUAAAGAAAAGAGAAAAAGCAGUGUACACAGAGCAUCUGGCAAUUCUGCUCAGGGAAACAAGGACGCUCUUUGAUUUUCUCCCAUUAUACUCCUUGCCACUGAAACAUCCUCUUUUUAAAAAGAAAUAAUAAUUAUGAAAAAUUAUUACUCAUUGUUUUUAAGCAUGCAGAAGUGGUUGACAUGACCUGCCAAAGCUCAAAA